UUUUUUUUUUUUUUUUUUUUCAGUAGAUAAUGUACACACACAGCAGCGCUCAGGGACAGAACUCGACAUUUUGAUAAAAUCAUGACAAUUUUAUCAAGAACUCUCAUCUUAUAUGAGUGUUACAUACGCACACUCCAUAACUGAUGUGAGAUCCCAAAGGACUAGUAUCUGGACCCCAAUUCAUGUAUAAAUGCAAACAAGUUUAGUGGAGUUGAGUCAAUGUGAACCAUGUAUGGAUAAGAGAAGAUGAAAUAAUGUUAGAAAUCUCUUUUCCCUACAUUGGACUUUUAGAUUCAGAGAUGGGAAAUGAAUUCCAAUGUUCUGGAUAUAAAAUCCUUUAUUCCUAGGUUUGCUUAAGUGGUUUUCUCUCUUGUUAGGAGAUCGGCUAACAGAACAGCUGAUUUUGUAGCAAAAGCUUUUUUCUAGAGGGCUCUUUCUUGUAAUCGGCUAACUGCCAUUCCUAAUAAGCUUCUGUCUACCUUGUACUUUGAUGUAAUUUGAAAAAUGCUAGUCAUUAAAAAUAUUCGACAAUUAUGAAUGUAAUACAAG
rnacentral:misc_RNA from 1 species